CAGCCGCCACGGUAAUACGUAGGUGGCAAGCGUUGUCCGGAAUUAUUGGGCGUAAAGGGCUCGCAGGCGGUUUCUUAAGUCUGAUGUGAAAGCCCCCGGCUCAACCGGGGAGGGUCAUUGGAAACUGGGAGACUUGAGUGCAGAAGAGGAGAGUGGAAUUCCACGUGUAGCGGUGAAAUGCGUAGAGAUGUGGAGGAACACCAGUGGCGAAGGCGACUCUCUGGUCUGUAACUGACGCUGAGGCGCGAAAGCGUGGGGAGCAAACCGGAUUAGAUACCCGUGUAGUCCCUGUCUCUUAUAC
rnacentral:rRNA from 1 species